CGCGCUCCUCCCGCCCCCUCUCCAUCCCGACUCUCCCUCCCCCUACCUCCCCCACACUGGGCCCAGUCAGCCCAAGGGUUCCUUCGUCGCUUAGCUUCGCGUCGGCCCGGCCCGGCCCGGCCCGGCCAGCGGGCAGAUGCUCCGAGCUGCCGCUGCCGACGCGGCCGACUCGGCCGGUGGCGGUGUGGGAGGCGGGCGUCCGGCCCCGGGCCGCUGAGUGUGACGGACGGGGCCGGGGGCCGCCGGGCGCCGCGGCGUCGGCGGCUCCGCGCGGACCAUGUAUUUCCUGAGCGGCUGGCCCAAGAGGCUGCUGUGCCCUCUGGGGAGCCCGGCCGAGGCGCCUAUCCACGUUCAGUCCGACCCCCAGAGGACUUUCUUCGCCGUGCUGGCCCCGGUCCGCCUCAGCAUCUGGUACAGCCGCCCUAGUGUGUUAAUUGUAACCUACAAGGAACCUGAAAAAUCAUCUUCUCAGUUUGGAUUCUACAAACAAGCUGAAUGGAGGCCAGAUAGUACCAUGAUAGCUGUGUCAACUGCAUAUGGCUACAUCUUGUUUUUUCAUAUUACAUCUACAAGAGGGGACAAGUACCUUUAUGAACCAGUGUAUCCCAAAGGAAGUCCACAAAUGAAGGGGACACCCCAUUUUAAGGAAGAACAGUGUGCUCCGGCAUUAAAUUUAGAAAUGAAGAAAAUACUGGAUUUGCAAGCACCCAUCAUGAGUUUGCAGUCCAUGCUCGAGGAUCUCCUCGUUGCUACUUCUGAUGGACUUCUUCAUCUUAUUCACUGGGAAGGAAUGACAAACGGAAGGAAAGCUAUUAAUCUUUGCACAGUACCCUUUUCAGUAGAUCUGCAGUCGUCUAGAGCAGGUUCAUUCCUGGGUUUUGCAGAUGUGCACAUCAGAGACAUGGAAUACUGUGCCACACUUGAUGGAUUUGCUGUUGUGUUUAACGAUGGUAAAAUUGGAUUUAUUACUCCGGUGUCAAGUAGAUUUACUGCAGAGCAGCUCCAUGGAGUUUGGCCACAAGAUGUUGUUGACGGAACUUGUGUAGCAGUAAAUAACAAGUACCGACUCAUGGCGUUUGGUUGUGCAAGUGGUUCUGUACAGGUUUAUACAAUAGAUAACACCACUGGAGCUAUGCUGCUGUCUCAUAAACUAGAGCUAACAGCAAAACAAUAUCCUGAUAUUUGGAACAAAACAGGAGCUGUUAAAUUGGUCAGAUGGUCUCCUGACAAUAGUGUUGUAAUAGUGACCUGGGAAAAUGGAGGCCUAUCUUUAUGGAGUGUGUUUGGAGCCCAGCUGAUUUGUACACUCGGAGGAGACUUUGCUUAUAGGUCUGAUGGUACCAAAAAAGAUCCCCUUAAGAUCAACUCUAUGAGCUGGGGUGCAGAAGGCUAUCACCUCUGGGUAAUCAGCGGAUUUGGUGCUCAAAGUACUGAAAUUGAGUCUGACUCCAAGAGUAUAGUUAAACAGCCUGGCAUUCUGCUAUUUCAGUUUAUCAAGAGUGUACUCACUGUAAACCCUUGUAUGAGUAACCAGGAGCAAGUGCUGCUUCAGGGGGAGGAUCGAUUGUACUUGAACUGUGGAGAGGCCUCACAAACCCAGCACGCCAGGGGUUCCUCGGCGCACCCUGAGCAUAAGGCUGCUGGGGCCAAAAGCCCCUUUGCAGAUAGCGGUGUAGAGUCUCCGGGUUUAAGCACUUUGCUUGGACAUCGGCAUUGGCAUGUGGUGCAGAUUUCCAACACCUAUCUAGAGAGCAAUUGGCCUAUACGGUUUUCAGCUAUUGAUAAGCUUGGACAGAAUAUUGCUGUGGUUGGCAAGUUUGGUUUUGCACAUUACUCUUUACUCACCAAAAAAUGGAAGCUUUUUGGAAACAUUACCCAGGAGCAAAAUAUGAUUGUGACUGGUGGCUUAGCCUGGUGGAAUGAUUUUGUUGUCCUGGCAUGUUAUAACAUAAGUGACCAUCAAGAAGAGCUCAGAGUUUAUUUGCGAACAUCAAAUCUGGACAAUGCCUUUGCUCACAUCACCAAAGCACAAGCAGAAACAUUACUGCUCAGUGUCUUCCGGGACAUGGUAAUAGUAUUUAGAGCCGACUGUUCAAUAUGCCUUUACAGUAUUGAAAGAAAAUCUGAUGGUCCCACCACUACAGCUGGUAUUCAGGUUCUUCAAGAAGUCUCCAUGUCGCGCUACAUUCCUCACCCUUUCCUUGUAGUGUCUGUCACUCUGACAUCAGUGAGCACAGAGAAUGGGAUCACCCUGAAAAUGCCACAGCAGGCUCGUGAUGCAGAGAGCAUUAUGCUAAAUCUCGCAGGACAGCUCAUCAUGAUGCAGAGGGACAGAUCGGGGCCUCAGAUCCGGGAGAAGGACAGUCACCCUAACCAAAGGAAGCUUCUGCCAUUCUGUCCUCCCGUUGUACUGGCCCAGUCCGUUGAAAAUGUCUGGACCACGUGCCGAGCAAAUAAACAAAAGCGUCACCUUCUGGAGGCCCUGUGGCUGAGCUGUGGAGGUGCAGGGAUGAAAGUUUGGCUCCCUCUCUUCCCCAGGGAUCACCGCAAGCCCCAUUCCUUCUUGUCCCAGCGGAUCAUGCUGCCUUUCCACAUCAAUAUUUACCCCCUGGCUGUUCUGUUUGAAGACGCGUUAGUCCUUGGUGCUGUCAAUGACACUUUGCUCUAUGAUUCUUUGUACACGCGGAACAGUGCUCGGGAACAGCUGGAGGUGCUCUUCCCUUACUGUGUCGUGGAGAGGACCUCCCAGAUCUACCUCCACCACAUUCUGCGUCAGCUGCUGGUCAGGAACCUUGGGGAGCAGGCCUUGCUCUUGGCCCAGUCCUGCGCUGCAUUACCUUACUUCCCUCACGUGCUGGAGCUCAUGCUCCACGAAGUGCUGGAGGAAGAAGCUACCUCACGGGAACCCAUUCCCGACCCUCUGCUUCCCACUGUGGCAAAAUUCAUCACCGAGUUCCCCCUCUUCCUGCAGACGGUUGUUCAUUGUGCCAGGAAGACUGAAUAUGCCCUGUGGAAUUACCUUUUUGCAGCCGUUGGAAACCCCAAGGACUUGUUUGAGGAAUGCUUGAUGGCUCAGGACUUGGACACAGCUGCCUCUUACCUUAUUAUCUUACAGAAUAUGGAAGUUCCGGCAGUAAGUAGGCAACAUGCUACCCUUCUGUUCAACACAGCCCUGGAACAAGGCAAGUGGGACCUAUGUCGACACAUGAUUCGAUUCCUUAAAGCCAUUGGCUCUGGAGAAUCUGAGACCCCUCCAUCCACGCCUACAGCUCAGGAACCCAGUUCAAGUGGUGGAUUUGAGUUCUUCAGGAAUCGAAGCAUCAGUUUGUCCCAGUCAGCUGAGAAUGUUCCUGCUAGUAAAUUCAGCUUACAGAAAACACUGAGUAUGCCAUCCGGUCCUUCUGGGAAAAGAUGGAGCAAAGACAGUGACUGUGCUGAGAACAUGUACAUUGAUAUGAUGCUCUGGAGACACGCCCGGCGUCUCUUAGAAGAAGUUCGGCUGAAGGACCUCGGCUGCUUUGCAGCCCAGCUGGGCUUUGAACUCAUCAGUUGGCUGUGCAAGGAGCGCACCCGAGCCGCGCGGGUGGACAACUUUGUGCUGGCCCUGAAGAGACUCCACAAAGACUUCCUGUGGCCGCUUCCCAUCACCCCAGCCUCUUCUGUCAGCUCUCCUUUCAAGAAUGGAAAAUACCGAACAGGAGAGCAGCUGCUGAAGUCUCAGUCAGCGGACCCUUUUCUAAACCUCGAGAUGGACGCUGGGGUCUCUACUGUACAACGAAGUCAGAGCUGGCUUGGCAGCAUCGGCCCCGCCCACCAUGAGAUAGACACGGCCUCAUCCCAUGGACCACAAAUGCAAGACGCCUUCCUGUCACCUUUAUCUACUAGAGGUGAUGAAUGCAGUAUUGGUUCAGCCACAGAUUUGACGGAAAGUAGCUCCAUGGUGGAUGGAGACUGGACAAUGGUGGAUGAAAACUUCUCCACACUCAGUUUAACUCAGUCGGAGCUGGAGCACAUCUCCAUGGAGUUGGCCAGUAAGGGGCCUCAUAAAUCCCAGGUCCAGCUUCGGUACUUGCUGCACAUGUUCAUGGAGGCAGGGUGUCUAGACUGGUGCAUCGUCAUAGGCCUGAUUCUCCGAGAAUCCUCAGUAAUCAGCCAGAUCCUGCUGCUCAUCCAGUCUUCGGAGGUGGAUGGAGAGAUGUUACAGAACAUAAAGACAGGGCUACAUGCGGUAGACCGAUGGGCCUCUACGGAUUGUCCUGGAUAUAAGCCAUUCUUAAACAUCAUUAAGCCACAAGUACAGAAGUUCAGUGAGCUGACAGAGGAGCAGGUCCAGCCUGAAGCCUUCCAGCCAAUAACUGCGGGUAAGACUCCUGAACACACUGGGCCCCGGGCAGAGGAAAGCCGGGGCCCCUCUGGCCAUGGAAGCCUCCCCCAGGGCGAGGUCGGAGGCAGCGGUCUGGUCGGCAGGAACGAGGAGGACGCAGCCCGAGCAGAGGAGGAUGAAUCCUUUCAAGACGGGACUUACGACUGUUCUGUGUCCUAACGGCAGCGGCGUGCCAUCACCACGGGCAGUGUUAACUUGCGGCGGCAUGUGCAACUGAGGAAACUGGCCUAGCUGGACGAUUUAACCAGGGAGAGAACUCAGAGACUCUGGGCUUAUAUUAUAAUCUGUAAGGUUUUAUGCUGGAUUCUGCAUGGCUAUUCUCACUCUUGGAAGAGAGACAAGACUUGCUUUUCUUUCCAAAUCUGAGCAGUCUUCAGAGAAGAGAACAGGUUUAUCGGCUUGGUCAUACAGUAACGGAAACGGUCACACUGAUCAUGAAAUCAAACAGGUUUUGUGCAAAUUAAUGUAGUUUCUUAUUUAUUGCUUUUGUAAAUUGAAUAAAAAUGGGACUUUCAUGUAAAUAGACUGCUGAAUCCUGUAUUAUCACGGCUACUAAAAAUUACUAUGUGAACAAUGCAUUCUUCAUUGUAACUUUUAAAAUAUUUUAUGUAUUUCUAGAUAGGACUUAAAUGUUAGUUUUCAUACAUUAUGAAAACCUACCUGCAUACUCCUGUCCUAAUUGCUUCAGACUAAACGCAUAUCCACGGUAUGUAGUUCGGUUACCUUCUGUCAGUAUUAAUUUAGAUAGCUUGUUUGUACUGUGCAAUUUGAACAAAGGAAUGCAAUGUUAUUUUUUACAAAAACAAACUUGUUUAUUUUUGUAAUAACGAUGUAUUUGAUGUGGACCAAAUUCAUACCACUAUGUAAAACAGCCUCCUUUCUCAUAGUGCAAUUACAGUUUAAAAAUAAAACUUGGUCCUCUAUCCUGGCUUUUUAAAGUAAAUGGCUGGAUACAGUUGUCCCGGCCAGGUUUCCUUCGAAGGGAAACUCAAAAGCAUUUUGAAAUUGUUAGUUCAGAAUUCAUCAAAGUGUUUUAAAUUAUUGAGUUUGGUAAUUUACUAUCAUUUACUUUUUACAUUACAAGUGCAGUAACGUCACGUCCCCAAACUCCUGAACGGGUGGGAUAUGUGAUUAUGGUACCUGCUCUUUCUGGUGCUACUUUAUUUAAGCCUUUGUUUUAAACCACCUUUCCUGAAUCUUAGGAUAGAACAAUAAUGUUUCCCAUGUGAGUACAUGCAGCCCAGCAAGAAACCAACCUGAAAUUUCUUCUCCUGUCCUAGUCCAUUAGGAGGAGAACUGGCAUUGUUUUUGUGUCUGGUGUGAAUAUGCGGUCAAUAAAAAUGAUUCACCGUUGUAAACAGCUGUGAUCCUCUCAAAUCUCUGAAUGUGCUGCUGGGUCCGUCCUGCACUCUUACAAGCAGGGCACCAGUAAGUGAACUGUACUCCUGUGGGGAACACCACCAAUGAAUCUGGUCUCCCAGACUUGCUUUUCCACGUAAUAGGAAAUGGACGGCCCUAAGGCGGAACAAUUGGGAGGUUUACAGAAAUCUUCUCUUGGUAAUUUGUAAUAGACUUCACUUUUUUUUUUUAAUUCGUAUUUUUAUUUUGCCUUGUUUGGUUCACAUGUCAGUGUUUAAGCCAUAAUUUUAACCAAUGAAUUUCAGUAUUCAGUAGAACUAUUUGAAGUUUGAAUUAUUUGCUGAUACCAAAACAAGAAGUCAUUUGGGUGGGGGUAGAGUCAACGUUUGCUUGUAAUUAAAGUUGCUGCUACUUCUGUAAUGUGUACUUUUUUUUACUUGGUAAAGGGCAAUAAAACCAUUACACGCA